rnacentral:snRNA from 1 species
AAAAAGGGCUUCUGUCAUGAGUGGCACACGUAGAGCAGCCUGAUUGCUCUAUGUGCGAAAUCGACAUCAAGAGAUUUCGGAAGCAGUU